CAAAGGGAUUACCGGUGGCGGAUGGGCAUGCGGCGCAUUAGCUAGUCGGCGGGGUAACGGCCCACCGAGGCGACGAUGCGUAGGGGUUCUGAGAGGAAGGUCCCCCACACUGGUACUGAGACACGGACCAGACUCCUACGGGAGGCAGCAGUGAGGAAUAUUGGUCAAUGGGCGCGAGCCUGAACCAGCCAAGUCGCGUGAGGGAUGACGGUCCUACGGAUUGUAAACCUCUUUUGCCGGGGAGCAAGCGUGCGUUCGUGAACGCGCGUCGAGAGUACCCGGAGAAAAAGCAUCGGCUAACUCCGUGCCAGCAGCCGCGGUAAUACGGAGGAUGCGAGCGUUAUCCGGAUUUAUUGGGUUUAAAGGGUGCGUAGGCGGGAUGCCAAGUCAGCGGUAAAAAUGCGGUGCUCAACGCCGUCGAGCCGUUGAAACUGGCGUUCUUGAGUGGGCGAGAAGUAUGCGGAAUGCGUGGUGUAGCGGUGAAAUGCAUAGAUAUCACGCAGAACUCCGAUUGCGAGGGCAGCAUACCGGCGCCCUACUGACGCUGAGGCACGAAAGCGUGGGUAUCGAACAGGAUUAGAUACCCUGGUAGUCCACGCAGUAAACGAUGAGUGCUAACUGUCCGGCUCGAAUGAGCGCUGG
rnacentral:rRNA from 1 species